rnacentral:rRNA from 1 species
AUUGAACGCUGGCGGAAUGCUUUACACAUGCAAGUCGAACGGCAGCACGGACUUCGGUCUGGUGGCGAGUGGCGAACGGGUGAGUAAUAUAUCGGAACGUGCCCAGUCGUGGGGGAUAACGUAGUGAAAAUUACGCUAAUACCGCAUACGAUCUAAGGAUGAAAGCGGGGGAUCGCAAGACCUCGCGCGAUUGGAGCGGCCGAUAUCAGAUUAGGUAGUUGGUGAGGUAAAGGCUCACCAAGCCAACGAUCUGUAGCUGGUCUGAGAGGACGACCAGCCACACUGGAACUGAGACACGGUCCAGACUCCUACGGAGGCAGCAGUGGGAAUUUUGGACAAUGGGCGCAAGCCUGAUCCAGCCAUUCCGCGUGAGUG